rnacentral:rRNA from 1 species
UACGUAGGGUGCAAGCGUUGUCCGGAAUUAUUGGGCGUAAAGAGCUCGUAGGCGGUUUGUUGCGUCGGCUGUGAAAUCCCGAGGCUCAACCUCGGGUCUGCAGUCGAUACGAGCAAACUAGAGUGUUGCAGGGGAGACUGGAAUUCCUGGUGUAGCGGUGAAAUGCGCAGAUAUCAGGAGGAACACCGGUGGCGAAGGCGGCUCACUGGAUCAAUACUGACGCUGAGGUGCGAAAGCGUGGGUAGCGAACAGG